rnacentral:rRNA from 1 species
UACGUAGGCGGCGCAGCAAGUGUCGGGUGAAAUCCCACGGCUCACCCGUGGAACUGCCUGGCAAACUGCUGUGCUAGAGUGUGGUAGGGGAGAGCGGAACUCAUGGUGGAGCGGUGAAAUGCGUAGAUAUCAUGAGGAACACCGGUGGCGAAGGCGGCUCUCUGGUCCACAACUGACGCUGAGGUACGAAAGCUAGGGUAGCGAACG